AGCGAACGCUGGCGGCAGGCCUAACACAUGCAAGUCGAACGAACCUUUCGGGGUUAGUGGCGGACGGGUGAGUAACACGUGGGAACGUGCCUUUAGGUUCGGAAUAACUCAGGGAAACUUGUGCUAAUACCGAAUGUGCCCUUCGGGGGAAAGAUUUAUCGCCUUUAGAGCGGCCCGCGUCUGAUUAGCUAGUUGGUUGAGGUAAUGGCUCACCAAGGCGACGAUCAGUAGCUGGUCUGAGAGGAUGAUCAGCCACAUUGGGACUGAGACACGGCCCAAACUCCUACGGGAGGCAGCAGUGGGGAAUCUUGCGCAAUGGGCGAAAGCUUGACGCAGCCAUGCCGCGUGAAUGAUGAAGGUCUUAGGAUUGUAAAAUUCUUUCACCGGGGACGAUAAUGACGGUACCCGGAGAAGAAGCCCCGGCUAACUUCGUG
rnacentral:rRNA from 1 species